rnacentral:misc_RNA from 1 species
UCAGCACAGUUUACAGAGAGCGACAGCAAAACCGUGAAAAAAUGGAAAGAAAUGACAAACUCUAAAUGAAAUUAAGUACGAAUCGGGAUGCUGAAGAACACUUGACGUAUUUAAGUGGCUCCACAUUGAAAGUGCAAUUAAAAUUAAUAAAUAGUCGUAAUUAGCGUAAGCGUACUGGCGUCUCACAAUGAACUACACAUACUUGUUUGUGCUCAUUUGGCUCGCCUAUUUGAUAUGCAGCGGUGUGCUGCUCUUUUCCCGAGGAUUUCUGCUGGCGCGCGUUUCCAAGACGGAGACAAGCAGCUGUCGCCACCUAUCCACAAAUCCCGAUGAUGAAUAUUACCUGACACCGGAGGUGGUGCAGGAGAUCUUUAAGGAUGUCAACGCCUCGACGUCCUCUAAUUUAUGUCUUCCACAAAAAUCGAAAGUUAUUAUGCUUGUCAUAGAUGCAUUAAAAUAUGAAUUUGGUGUGUACAAAGAGAAUGUCACUGAACCGCCGUUGCCUUAUGAAAACAAAUUGGAAGUGCUGCAUCGGCUGUUGCAACAGUCGCCGGAGCAUGCGCGUCUAAUGCGCUUUAGAGCAGAUCCGCCCACGACUACGUUGCAACGCUUGAAGGGUCUCACCACAGGCAGUCUGCCCACCUUUAUUGACAUUGGCUCCAACUUUGCCUCGCCCGAGAUAAAUGAGGAUAAUAUCAUUGAUCAGAUGGUCAAGAGCCAUUUGCCCUUAGUUUUUCUGGGCGAUAGCACAUGGACUGAUCUGUACCCGCGUCGUUUCAAGCGUGCCUACUCCUAUCCCAGCUUUGAUAUAUUCGAUUUGGAUAGCGUGGACAAUCAGAUAAAGCAGCAUCUGCCCAAGGAGCUGUCUAACAAUGAUUGGCAGGUGCUCAUAGCACACUUCCUGGGCGUCGAUCAUUGUGGCCACAAACAUGGACCCAUUCACGAAGAAAUGGCGCGUAAAUUAACCGAAAUGAAUGAUAUUAUAAGCUCUGUCGUGGCUGCCAUGGAUAAUGAGACCACGUUGCUGAUAAUGGGCGAUCAUGGUAUGACGGCCAGUGGGGAUCAUGGCGGUGAUACUGAUGACGAAACGAAUGCGCUGCUGUUUGCCUACACAAAGCAGCAUAAAUUCUAUACCAGCAACGAUUCGGGAUCUGAUAGCGAAUUGCUGCAGCAGAUUGAUCUGGUGCCCACUUUAUCGACCAUACUCGGCGUGCCCAUACCCUAUUCGAAUCUCGGCCUAAUCAACUUUAAUAUUGUGCCCGCCAUUGCAGUGCCACAUUUGAGUAAAUUUCAAACAUUGCUGCUGCACGCCUGGCAAAAUGCCCAUCAAAUCUAUCGCUACUUCUUCAAAUAUGCCAUGGAGAAUAAGCGCACGUUUAAUGUCGAGGAAAUGGAUAAGCUGGAAACGGAAUUUAUACUACUCACACAUCGUGUGCAAACAAUCUACAACGAGGCGGCCUUCAAGUCGUUUGUGCGCGAUCUAAAUAUCAAUUUACGUGACAUCCUCAAUGUCUGUCGCGAGAUUUGGGUUAAGUUUGAGCCCACGCAGAUGUCGCAGGGUUUGCUAUUUAGUUUUCUGCCCAUCUUCUUUGCCUUUCUGCUGGUGAAUAACUCGAAUGCCGGCGGUUAUGCACAAAUAUUUAAGCCCAAAGAAGUGUUCUACACGUUUCUGAUUAACAUUGCUGCUGGCGUCUUUGGCUAUCGCUACUACAAGAGCUUUUCGUUCAAGACGGAGGAACAUGGCGUCAUAUUCUUUACCAGUCUGCUCAGCGCUGUUCUGCUGGCUUUUUUUACGAUUCGACAUUGGAAAAGCAUUGCCAACAAUUGGGCAAAUGUGAAGCGUUUUGGCCAUAUGCCAACACGUCUGCUGCUCUUUGCCAGUGUCGCCGUCUUCUUCUCCAACAGCUUUGUCAUACAGGAGGCCAAGAUAUUGUCCUAUCUGCUAGUGGCCAUCAUUCUGCUGUUUGUCUACGAGCUACUGCAGUUGAGCGCACGUUUGGAUUUCAAGAACAAGUUCAAAUGGUCGCAGCUCUUGCGCUCCACAACCCUACGAUUGGUGUUGGCCAGCUUGUUGGCCAUCUGCUGCAUACGCUUUGCCUACACGCUCUUUCGCUGUCGCGAGGAGCAAGGCAAUUGCGCAGAUUUCGCAAGCGCCAGCACGGCGGGCUUCUCCGUGAAGAAACCAGCGAUGGGCAAGACCUAUAUACUAGCUGUCGUCAUAAUUGUUUUGUACACCACAUUGACUCGUUUAUAUUUGCGCUCCUGUGGCAAUUUGACUGGCAAUUCAGCAAAUGUCCUGCUGGCACGCUACGGACCGACUGUCGCUUCCAUUUGUGCUGGCGGGCAUAUACUGCUCGCCAAUAGCACCGUGAAGAAUAUACAACGCACACACAUUGACACCAUGGCUCUGGUCAUCUAUGGAUUGCUGCUAUUGCAAAUUCUGGUUGUCUCCUGGUCGCCACUGAUGGUAUUUGUGCUGCCGCCCAAAAAUCCAAAUACAAUUACGGUCAAUGGGCAGGAUAGCAUUGUGCCGGAAAUCUUUCGGAAAAUGAAGCGCAUGUACGAAGGCGACGAUGCUGAGCAACGCUAUGAGAUACCCGUUGUCUAUGGCCUGGCCACCGUCUACUCAUCGAUCAUCAUCUCAUUUGGCGUCUUCCUUGCCAUGCUGAUGAUUGUGCUGCUCGAGCCGCGUGCGAGCAUCGGUCUGAUUGUCUGCAUUGUCGUUGGAGCUAUUUUACUGAGCUUGCACGGCAUUCUACGUUAUCGCACAGCCAACAGCUUUGAGAGCUGCGUGCAGCCCACAUUUAGCGCUGUGGUCGGCUGGUUUCUGCUGGCGCACUUUUGCUUCUUUGCCACGUCUCAUCAAACAACGUUGUCCCAGAUUGACUGGCGCGCUGCCUUUGUGGGACGGUCUAGCGCCUUGGGGCAAUCUCAUCUCAUAUCCGGCACGCUGGUCAUACUCAACACCUUUUGCGGGCCCAUCUUCUUCUACUGCAUGUACUCGCUGCUCAGCACAGAGACCUUCUCGCUGUUUGCUCUGUUUCCCAAUCUCAUCAAGAGCUGCAGCAGCAACAGCAAUACCAACAAUCGCAGCAAUGGCAAAGCUAGUUCAGCGGCUAUAGCUUUGUCUGAUUUGGCCAACGAUGCUGUGGGCUUUGAUAUGACACGUGGCGAGCUGGCGUUGUAUGAGUAUGAGGAUGUUUUCCUUGGUGCUGGCUUCAAGCUGGCCACACAGUUCUUUAUGCUGCAGGGCCUUAAGAUCUUCUGUGCCAUGCUUGCCUGUACCAUACACUGUCGCCAUUUGAUGGUCUGGAAGAUCUUUGCGCCGCGCUUCAUCUACGAAGCCUUGGCCACCUUUGUCGGUCUGCCAGCUCUCAUUGUGGGCUAUUUGUUGCUAUUGCGCAUUAAUCGCGCUGUCGAUGGACUCAUUAAGUGCAUCAAUAAGGAUAAGUAAAACGGAAUAACAGCAAUUCAGCAUUUGCUCUAGUCCCGCUACCGCAACCAAAACUAUCGAUAUUGCGUACAGCCAGGCUUAACAGAUUUACAUUUACAUAAACAAUAUGAGUGGGAGCUAUCUUUGUGUUGCUAUCGAUAGUUAACUUCAAUU